GCAGUAACUGACAUGCAGUGAAAAGCCUUUCAAACGUUUUUUGUGAUUGGGUUGCUGUGGAUGCUGGAAUUUAGAGAAAAUUUCAAUGCAUUGAAUGGAUACUAAAUGCUAUUAGUACUGCUCUGCUGUACAUGUUUUGUUCAUUUUUAACUUGAAGCUGCCACCUUUUUCCCCCCUUUUUACUUGUUUUGCCCCAAACAAAGUAAUGAAGUGAAAAAUGAAUGGGGUAUAAGUUUCUAGCAAAAAGUUAUGUCAAUGUCUUCAUUUUAGAAUAAUGCUUUUAAGUUUAGCUGCGAAUGCAGAGCAUAAUGAAUUCGUUGUUAGAUCACCUGUUGACCUUAUACAACUGUAAAUUGUAUGACAGUUUAUGAUCUUGCUUAACAUUGCCAUUUCUUAGUCUCUUAGUUGGCUGUGUGUAUUCUCAGCACUAGCUUGUAAGUCUGCUGGUUCGAAGGUUGACUUUAUUCAGUUUUUUUACUAUUACAUGGAUUGAUUUGUCAUUGAAUUAGAUUAUAGGUGAUUGAUUUUACUAAAAUAAAACUAGUAUAUGUUUUGCAUUUCACUUGUAAGAUGUAACUGCCUAAGAACCUUAGUCGUUCCUUGUGUUACAUGGAUUCUAAGAAACUUGUGGACCUAUUGUUAUAUUUUGUCAUGGGCUUCUUAAUCAUUUGAUUUCAUAGUUCAACUGUAAUGUUACCACUGGGCUUAUAAAUAGGAUCCUAUUGUUUGGUUGAGAAAUUUGA
rnacentral:misc_RNA from 1 species